CUUCUCAAGAGCUCCCCAACAUUCCUCCAAAGUCAGAGGGUGACCCCUCUGAACCUCCUGUUGGCCAGGCUCAGAGGAAGAGGAAACACUCAGGAAGGGAUGGAGAGAUGGACAGAACUGAAUAAAGAAUGCCUGUCGGGAGGAACACGGAGAGACGCAGAGGACUAUGAAAGGCCAGGAGCCGGAGACCCGUGGGCCUGGUGAGCUGCACAGACCUCUGCACUCAGUGGGAUUCCCAACAGGCCUUGCUCCAAGCUCCCAGGGUUACUCUGAGGUCUGCCUAUGUUGCGGAGCAGAGCUCUGAAUUCUCAGCCUGCCUUAAUUAGCUGUGGGACUGUCCAGGAUUCCAGGGACUCACGGAUCCUAUACUGCUAAAGUCACUGAAGACUCUGCCUGGCACGGGCCCUGGGUCGUUCUUCUAAGUCACCUCCUUAGACCCAGCAAUGCAAGGCUUGUCCCCCACAAGUGAGCUCUAGCUCCUGAGAUCUUCGGGGCUCCUGCACG
rnacentral:lncRNA from 1 species